UACGGGGGGGGCAAGCGUUGUUCGGAAUUACUGGGCGUAAAGGGCUGGUAGGCGGCCAACUAAGUCGGAUGUGAAAUCCCCAGGCUUAACCUGGGAACUGCAUCCGAUACUGGUCGGCUUGAAUCCGGGAGAGGGAUGCAGAAUUCCAGGUGUAGCGGUGAAAUGCGUAGAUAUCGGGAGGAACACCAGUGGCGAAGGCGACUUCCUGGCCUGUUCUUGACGCUGAGGCGCGAAAGCUAGGGGAGCAAACGGG
rnacentral:rRNA from 1 species